rnacentral:lncRNA from 1 species
CUGCAGGAUGACCUCGUUUCUGAAAUGUAAUUUUUCAUUUUCUGUCUCAUUUUGGGAGACUACAUUGUUUUAGUUGUGUACUUGGCAAUUUAGAGGAAGUAAUGAGACCUCCUGUGAAAUGAGGAAGCUGAAUUCCAGCGAGCUUUAGACAAGAGAUCUGCGUUCAGCACUACAGAAAUGAGUCAGCACAGCAGGAGUUUCUGUAAGAGUUUAUCCUGGUUAUCCUCAGGAUUAGAAGUGCUGCAGUUUGGAGAUGUAGAUGGUUUCUAAUUACAGGAUCAGAGGAGUGAGAGUGGUCUCUGACUCACUGGAGGUACCACACAUAAAUCUUCUUUCAUCUGGUGAUGCCUUCAGUGUUGAAAGGUUUGAUGUGCACAGGUCACUCGUGGUCUGAGCAGGCAGGAGGAGGAGGUGGCCUCAUCCCAUCCAAAUUAUCAUUCUGGAAGAUUGAGAUGCCCACAAUUGCACACGGUGUCUGCCUGUCCAGUGAAUGCAGAAUUUGGAAUUUACAGCUGUUAUGAAGAUCAAAGGAACCACACUGGUUAUUUCUGGGCUUGCAGUGAGAUGCACUGCAGGGAAAUAUGUUUUAAGGUUGCUGCUCCUCGUAGGAAAGAACACAGCACUUGGAAUGAAG